UGGGGAAUCUUCCGCAAUGGACGAAAGUCUGACGGAGCAACGCCGCGUGAGUGAAGACGGCCUUCGGGUUGUAAAGCUCUGUGAUCCGGGACGAAAGAGCCUGAGGUGAAUAGCCUAAGGAAGUGACGGUACCGGAAAAGCAAGCCACGGCUAACUACGUGCCAGCAGCCGCGGUAAUACGUAGGUGGCAAGCGUUGUCCGGAAUUAUUGGGCGUAAAGCGCGCGCAGGCGGCUUCCUAAGUCCAUCUUAAAAGUGCGGGGCUUAACCCCGUGAUGGGAUGGAAACUGGGAAGCUGGAGUAUCGGAGAGGAAAGUGGAAUUCCUGGUGUAGCGGUGAAAUGCGUAGAGAUUAGGAAGAACACCGGUGGCGAAGGCGACUUUCUGGACGAAAACUGACGCUGAGGCGCGAAAGCGUGGGGAGCAAACAGG
rnacentral:rRNA from 1 species